UGGGGAAUAUUGCACAAUGGGCGCAAGCCUGAUGCAGCCAUGCCGCGUGUGUGAAGAAGGCCUUCGGGUUGUAAAGCACUUUCAGCGAGGAGGAAGGUGGUGAGCUUAAUACGCUCAUCAAUUGACGUUACUCGCAGAAGAAGCACCGGCUAACUCCGUGCCAGCAGCCGCGGUAAUACGGAGGGUGCAAGCGUUAAUCGGAAUUACUGGGCGUAAAGCGCACGCAGGCGGUUUGUUAAGUCAGAUGUGAAAUCCCCGGGCUCAACCUGGGAACUGCAUUUGAAACUGGCAAGCUAGAUCUCGUAGAGGGGGGUAGAAUUCCAGGUGUAGCGGUGAAAUGCGUAGAGAUCUGGAGGAAUACCGGUGGNGAAAGCGGCCCCUGGACGAAGACUGACGCUCAGGUGCGAAAGCG
rnacentral:rRNA from 1 species